rnacentral:lncRNA from 1 species
UGUUCCCAAUUGCUCGAAGGAGUAGAUUGAUUCUCAUGGGAGGCUGGAGAAUGAGACUCUCACACUCUUCUUGAGAGUCACUGGAAAGGCAAGGCAUAAGAGGGAAUCAGAUGUGCCCUAUAGCAUGAUGAGGACUUUGUAACCCUCUAGAUAAUCGAGCAGAUCAGUCAAGCCAUUGUAUGGCUCGACUUGCAGCAUCUUGAACGGAUAUGGGAUCGGUUCGC